ensembl:lncRNA
UCUUGCUACUGAUGUGUUUGAAGAAGCCCUUCUUGCUGUCCUUGACAUCUCUUGACAGAUUAAACUCUAAAUGGGCCUUGGCCUUCCAAGUCCCAUCCCUGCACACUUGGCCAAUGUUCCUAUAUUCCUCCCAAGUGUGCCCCCUGCUUCCAUCUUCUGUAAACUUCCUUCUUCUGUUUGAGUUCUGCCAAGAGCUCCUUCUUCAUCCAUGCAGGUUUCCUGCCCCCUUUCCUCAGCUUCUUGCUGUAACACACCUCCCUUCACCACCUCCAGACUGAAAYUCCUCACCUUCAGAGCCAGAGGAACAGGGGAACGGGGAGAUAGAGAAGGGCUGGAAACUGAGYGCUGUGUGGAGACCAGUUUUGAACUGUAUUCUUACUAUAUGAUUAUCAUUACUGACGCUUUGGUCUCGAUGGACCAGUGCUGGGCCACAGAAGAGCUUCCUCGUGCAAUAUGGGGGGAGCCCCCUUGACCUGGGCCCACUUGUCUUCCUCUUUCCAAAUGUUCCUGCCUCAACUUGAAGUGUCCAAUGGAACAAGAACAAAUCAAAGUAACAUAGGAGUGGAUUUGCAAGAGGUGAUCCAUGGACCCAGAACAGUGAGGAGACAGAAGGUCUGAAAUAGCUGCRCAGGGUAUUUUGGAAAACAUCUGCCUGAAAGGAAAGAAAGAGUGUGAGGGUCGGCGAACGAGUGUCUGAAGCAGAGACCCUGGCGCGGCUGGGGCAGGACUUUACUGGCCACUUGCUGUCGACCCGCCUUGUGUGCGCCAUGAAGCGCAAGGCCCCCGACUCAAGGGAGGAGGCCUGUGUGCUGUGUUGCCGGGCCGAUUCGGACCCAGAGAGGUAUGGGGAGAAAUGGCGGAAGGAUGGUCUCUAUGCCCAUGAGACUUGCCUGGUGAGUCUCCCUGGGGCUGCCUGCAGCUUCCCUCUGGUGCCCCAGCCCAGCAGCCUGCAAUCUCCAUGCCCAGCCGGGCAGGAUCGGGCCAUGGGGAGGGGACUGGGUCUGUGGCUGCAGGGAAUCCCAUCCCAAGAGCUCAGUGGGUGUCGACUCCUCCUCGACACCUCCUGCCCCCCCUGCGUCCCUUUGCUGCGCUCUGCUCGGGCUCUUCUCGUCCGCCCCAGCACRGCGUGUGCUCAGCUCAGCAAGGUCCAGCAGGCCAGCGCUGCCUGCAGCAGUGUCCCCCAGCCCCUCGCCCAGGCACUCUCCGCCACUGCCUUCCCUGCCCACAGCACAGUCCACGCUCCCACCUCGCCAGGCCUUUGCACUGCUUGUUGUGGACCAGCUUGAAGGCCCAGGAGCAUUGCAGCUCACCCAGCCUCAGGCAGCGCAGCAUGGCCUGCCCCAACCCUCUCGCCAGUGUCUCAGCAUCAGCCACCAGCAAUGAGCCAUGCCUCCAUGACUUGAUGAGGUCUGGGACCUUUGUGUGUUUCAGUAUCUUGCCAGCGGGCUCCCUGUGAGACACACCAGUGAGACAGGAACCGACAAGUUCCUUCCGGCGGAUAUCAGGCGUGCAGUGAAGCAGACAACUCGGAAGAUGAAGAGCUAGCAGGGGCGUGGGGAGGUUUGUGGUGGCAUGGGUUUGUGCGGGCUCAGCCUGGCCCAUGGGAAGGCAAUCCUGGGGUUUUCCGUCAGUCCCAGGAGCUCCAGAGAGGAUCCAGGAGAAGCCGGAAGUCCAGUCCCUGAGGUGGCUCUGCAGGACGCGACUGCGCAGCGUCCCCAUCCCUGCAGCCUUGGCAAAGGUGUGGGCAGGCCUUGGGGGGCCCCGAGCAUGUCUCUGAUGAGGGGUUGCUGUGCUCUUUCCAGCUCUGCUACGUCUGUGGUGAGCGCGGGGCCAUCACUAGCUGCCGGCAGAAGGGCUGCAAGCGCAGCUUCCACUUCCCGUGCGGCUGYRAAGAYGGCUGCGUCUCGCAGUUCUUUGGGCAGUACAGGUAAGAGCUGACGAGCCUGGUGCUGGGCCGCCUUUGCCUCAGUCGGCCUCCUGCCAGCACUGGCCAAGUGGACGAAGCAGCUGCCUGCUGUGCCCCGCACUGAGCCUGCCAGAGGCAGAGCCAGGGUGUGCAGGGCUCCUUUAUUGCCCCCCCCUUUUCCUUCCUCUGGGUGCUGGAGCAGAGUGGGAGGGUCUGCCGUCAGCCAUGCCCUGGCAAUCCCUUGAUCUCGGCCCCCGGGGAGCUGGGGAUGCAUGCCUGGCCGUGGGCUGCAAAGCCAGGGUCUUGGUCAGGCCUCCACUGUGCAGACAAGGUGCCCACCUGGGUGAGAGUGCACCAGAGCCCAUCUCCGAGGGAGGACG